rnacentral:rRNA from 1 species
GACGAACGCUGGCGGCGUGCUUAACACAUGCAAGUCGAGCGGUAAGGCCCUUUCGGGGGUACGACGAGCGGCGAACGGGUGAGUAACACGUGGGUGACCUGCCCUCAGCUCUGGGAUAAGCCUGGGAAACCGGGUCUAAUACCGGAUAUGACUCCAUGACGCAUGUUGUGGGGUGGAAAGCCUUGUGCGGCUGAGGAUGGGCCCGCGGCCUAUCAGCUUGUUGGUGGGGUGAUGGCCUACCAAGGCGACGACGGGUAGCCGGCCUGAGAGGGCGACCGGCCACACUGGGACUGAGACACGGCCCAGACUCCUACAGGAGGCAGCAGUGGGGAAUCUUGCGCAAUGGGCGAAAGCCUGACGCAGCGACGCCGCGUGAGGGA